rnacentral:snRNA from 11 species
AAAAUGGAUGUGACAUCUGCUACACAAAUUAUCUUCAGGAUUGAUUCUGCUGAUCUGGCUAGUGUUCCAUUCAUCCCUCAUCACUUUAUGUGCUUCCCUCCCGAAGCUAUGCACCCAGGUAGGAGUAGACCAAGGUUUCUGGCUUUGGUCCCAUACAUAUGAUAGCUGUGCGCCCCUGAUAGAACCUCCAAACAAGCUCAAGCCUUCCUAAAACCCAGUCUGUGUUUCACUAUACCCUUCUUCUGACUGUCCCAUAGUUGUGAAUUCUGG